rnacentral:rRNA from 1 species
AUUGAACGCUGGCGGCAGGCCUAACACAUGCAAGUCGAGCGAGCGGCGGACGGGUGAGUAAUGUCUGGGAAACUGCCUGUUGGAGGGGGAUAACUACUGGAAACGGUAGCUAAUACCGCAUACCAUCAGAUGUGCCUAGAUGGGAUUAGCUGGUAGGUGGGGUAACGGCCCACCUAGGCGACGAUCCCUAGCGGGUCUGAGAGGAUGACCAGCCACACUGGAACUGAGAAACGGUCCAGACUCCUACGGGAGGCAGCAGUGGGGAAUAGUGCACAAUGGGCGAAAGCCUGAUGCAGCCAUGCCGCGUGUGUGAAGAAGGCCUUCGGGUUGUAAAGCACUGUCAGCGGGGAGGCGUUACCCGCAGAAGAAGCACCGGCUAACUCCGUGCCAGCAGCCGCGGUAAUAC